rnacentral:rRNA from 1 species
GACGGAGGAUGCAAGUGUUAUCCGGAAUCACUGGGCGUAAAGCGUCUGUAGGUGGUCAAAUAAGUCAACUGUUAAAUCUUGAGGCUCAACCUCAAAAUCGCAGUCGAAACUAUUAGACUAGAGUAUAGUAGGGGUAAAGGGAAUUUCCAGUGGAGCGGUGAAAUGCGUAGAGAUCCGGAAGAACACCGGUGGCGAAGGCGGCCUGCUGGGACAUGGCUGACGCUGAGGCGCGACAGCGUGGGGAGCAAACAGG